GGGAAGGUGGCUCAGUGGUAGAGUGCUUGCCUUGCAUGCAUGAGGUCCUGGGUUCAACUCCUCAGAACCCCA
rfam:Dipodomys ordii contig_5777, whole genome shotgun sequence.